AUUGAACGCUGGCGGCAUGCUUUACACAUGCAAGUCGAACGGUAACAGGUUAAGCUGACGAGUGGCGAACGGGUGAGUAAUGCAUCGGAACGUGCCCGAUCGUGGGGGAUAACGCAGCGAAAGCUGCGCUAAUACCGCAUACGAUCUGAGGAUGAAAGCGGGGGACCGUAAGGCCUCGCGCGAUCGGAGCGGCCGAUGUCAGAUUAGGUAGUUGGUGGGGUAAAGGCGCACCAAGCCAACGAUCUGUAGCUGGUCUGAGAGGACGACCAGCCACACUGGGACUGAGACACGGCCGAGACUCCUACGGGAGGCAGCAGUGGGGAAUUUUGGACAAUGGGCGAAAGCCUGAUCCAGCAAUGCCGCGUGCAGGAAGAAGGCCUUCGGGUUGUAAACUGCUUUUGUACGGAGCGAAAAGGUUCUCUCUAAUACAGAGGGCUCAUGACGGUACCGUAAGAAUAAGCACCGGCUAACUACGUGCCAGCCGCCGCCGUAA
rnacentral:rRNA from 1 species